UUAUUUCUGAUACUUGAAUCUGUUUUUAAGUUACUUUCACAUUUUUCUUAGUUUUCAUGUGAUAGUUACUACUUAAUCAUACAUACUAUUAGACAUGUAUAUCAUCAGCCACUCUAUUAGCUAAUCACUAGCAAGUAUUUACACAUCAUUCAUUGAUCAUAUCAUAUCAAAAGAAACCAAGUUCCUAUACAUGCCAUACACAAAACGAAACGUCUAACUAUACCAAUGUAAUUUCUUCGAUAGUGUGAUCGGGUCUCCGACGUUUCCUUCGAUCCCCGAGUGGCUUGAUAAAAACUAUAAGAAAAAGAAAAUAAAGAGAUUAAGCACUAGGCUUAGUAAGCUUACAAGCAAAUAAAUUACAACAUUCAACAUAAUGAAUAAUUAUACAUAAUGUCACCUAGCCUCAUAAACUUUCUUUACUUCUCAUUUUCUACCUUCUUCUUUACUUACUUACCUUCUUUCUUACCUGACCUUUCACUAUUCAUAAAUAUAAUCUACCUUCCCUUUUUGCUGAUAAUUCACUGUAAUUUAAUGUGUACAAUGACUCGUUGAACCACUCGGAAUACUAAGGAUACUAGGGUCGUUCCUGUCUAUCAAUAUCCUGCCAAUGCCAUGUCUUCGACAUGGACUUACAUGAAUUAUUCCUGUCUCCAAUGCCAUAUAUAUAAUAUGGGCUUACAUGGCUCAUUCCUGUCUCCAAAGCCAUAUAACUGAUAUGGACUUACAUGGCUCAUUUCUGUCCUGUCUUGUCCUAUCAACCCCAAUAUCCUAACAUUCCUAAGGUUCAAACGGGGCUUCCUAAUGCUUUUUCUCUGUCACUUCGCCUUUAAUUCGACUUUAAAUAUUCAAAGAAAAUAAGUAUAUAAAUGCUGGAAAUUGACAAUAAUAAUGUAAAAUAAAAGAGUAUUGCAUUUAUUUACUGUAAACUUACCUCGAUACAAAAUGUGACUAAAUUUUACAAUUUAGUCCUUUACUUUUUCUUUUCCCCGAUCUACUCCUGAAUUUCGCUCUUCUUGAUCUAUAAUAGCAAAUUUAACUUAUUUAAUAUUCACAUUUAUCAAAACAGCCCUUGACCCUAACUUUGGAAAAAUUACAUUUUUACCCCUAAACUUUGACAUAUUUUCACUUUUUCCCCAAGGCUCGUAUUUUAAAAUUCAUCCUAUUUUCUUAUGUUUUAUGACAUGCUGAUCAUUUUUCCCUUCUAUAACAACAUCAAAUUCACACUCUAACAUGUACUUAUGACUAUUAGGUAUUUUUACCGAUUAAGCCCUUUUACUCGUUUUCACUUAAAACCGAGUAGCACAAGUUGUCUAACAUAAUUUAAAAAUUCAUAGUCUAUCAUAAAACAUCAAAAUAAACACUUUUCACCUAUGGGUAUUUUUCCAAAUAUGAACCCUAACUUAAAUUAUUGCUAGUAUAAGCUUUAUCGAGCUACCGGGACUCUGAAAACGUAAAGAACAUUAAAAACGGGGCUUGGAAUCACUUAAUAUGAAGCUUGAAAGCUUGAAAAAAAACCCUAGCUAUGGAGAACCCUUGGAAUUUCGUGCUAAUGAAGAAGAUGAUGAAUUUUGUGUUAUUUUUCCCUUUUUAUUUCAUUUAAUAUCCAAAUGACCAAAAUGCCCUUCCUUAUUAAACUUUCAAAAAUUCCAUCCAUGUCCUAUUUUGUCCAUGAACUUAGAAAUUGGUAAAAUUUUUAUUGAAACCCUCCUAAUUAAUAUUCCAAAGCAAUUCAUACUAAAAACUUCUAGAAUGCAAGUUUUGCAAAUUAUUCGAUUUAGUCCCUAAUCUCAACUUAAGCACUUUAUGCAUAGAAUUUCAUCACGAAAUUUUCACACAAUCAUGAAAUCAUAUCAUGAACCUCAAAAUAAUAAUAAAAUAAAUUUUUGUACCUCGGAUUUGUGGUUUCACAACCACUGUUCCGUUUAGGCCCUAUUUCGGGAUGUUACAUUCACUGAUGAGAAAAUCCUUAAAACAUUCAACCAGAUGGACCCGAAAAAGGUUCUCGAUAUUGAUAGCCUCGCUGGAGUUUUCUUUAAAGAAAACUAGGAGGUCGUGGGUAAGGAUAUUCUCUUUUAUUGUCAUGGCUUCUUAAAUGGGGUGGUUAAUAUGGCCAGUAUAAAUGAAACGAUAAUUGUUCUCAUUCCUAAAAUAAGUGAACCAUCGAACAUGAUUAACUUCUGCCCUAUUAGUUUGUGCAGGGUUUUUGACAAGAUCAUUGCUAAGACUUUGGCAAGCCGUUUAAAAGGCAUUUUACCUACAUGCAUUAGCCUAAAUCAAAGCGCUGUUGUUCUAGGAAGAAUGAUUCUGAUAAUAUCCUUAUUGCGCAUGAAUUAAUGCAUUACUUACAGAGUUCGAAAAAGGGUUCAAACAAAAGCCUUGUGGUGAAACUCGACAUGAGCAAGGUAUAUGAUUGAGUAGAGUGGAACUUUCUUGAAGACGUGAUGAGAAAAAUGGGUUUUGACAUGGCGUGGAUUAGUUUAAUUAUGAAAUAUGUGCAUUGUUAAGUAUGUAAUUAAGUGUAAUGGGUGUCUUUCAAAUUCGAUUAUUCCAGAAAGAGGACUUCGAAUUGGGACCCUCUCUCCCCUUAUCUUUUUCUUUUUUAUAUGGAGGCACUUUCGCAAAUUCUUUUAUGUGCUUAGAAUCGUGGGAUUAUUAGGGGUGUUAGAGCUAGUAUUAAAGGGCUAAAUAUCAAUCAUUUGUUUUUCACUGAUGAUGCUCUCCUCUUUAUUAGAAACAAAAAAGGGAAGCUGAAGCUUUCAUGAAUAUUUUAAAUGAUUUUAAGAAAAUGUCUGGACAAAAAAUUAAUUUAGAAAAAUCUAUGUUUUAUUUUAGCCUGAACACUCCUACAAAUCAACGUGAAUUUUUUAGCAAUUUGCUCCUUAUGAAGGUGGUUGAGAAGCUUGAUAAUUAUCUUGGCUUACCUUUGUAUAUUGGGAAAAGGAAAUAUUUACCUUUUAGGGACAUUCUUAAUCGUCUUUCCUCUAGAAUUAACAGUUGGUCUAAACGUCUCCUUUCGUACGGAGGCAAAGAUGUCUUUGUUAAAUUUAUUCUUCAAGCCUUACCAACUUAUGCUCUAUCUAUUUUUCUUGGUCCUAAAGGUAUUAUUGAGCAUAUGAACUUAAGGAUUCACAGAAUGUGGUGGGCAAGUAACAACAAGGACUGAGGCUGGACUUUGAUGGCAUGGGACAAUAUUUGUACUCCUAAAGGUAUGGGAGGUCUUGAUUUUAGAGACUUUAAUCUUUUCAACCUAGCUCUUCUCGGAAGACAAGCGUGGAUACUUUUCAAUAAUAAGGAUGUGCUUUGCUACCGUGUUCUCAACUCAAAAAACUUUCUGGAUUGUAACUAGAGGUGCUCAUGGGCUGAGCCGGGUUCGAGUCGGGCUUAACUAAAAAUUUAGGCCUAUUUAUUGGGCUCAGGCAGGCCGAGCCCAAAAAAUGGGACUAAAAUUUUGCCCAAGCCCUACCCAAAUAAAAAUACUAAAACCUGGGCCCGGCCCGGCCCGCCCGUAUUUAUUUUUAUAUAAUUUUUAAAUAUAUAUAUAAUACAUCAAAAAUACUAAAAAAAUCAAAACAAAUAUUUCCCAACAAAUUGAAAAUAAAUUUUAAAAAAUAUGUAGACUUAAAUAGCACUAAGAUAGAUGCAACUUAACAAGCAAAUACAUCUAAAAUAAUAACAAAAUUAACAAAUGCCUUUAAAAUAAUAACAAAAUUAAUAAUAAAGUAAGUUUUAUACAAUAUCCAAACAAUAACAACAAAAUAGUCGCAACUAAUAGUAAUAUGGUAGCAAAAUAGGGAGAAAACAAUAAGAAAAUAACAUUCAAAAACAAAAAAAAAGUAAUUUUUUUGUCAUUUAGUGAAUUCGGGCCGGGCCGGGGCCAAAAAUACCUUACCCGAGGCCCGACCCAUUUUUGAAACAGACCUUAUUUUUUAGUCCAAGCCCAUUUUUCGGGUCUAUAUUUUUGCCCAAACCUUCCCACGUUUCGGGUGAGCCUUCGGGCCAGGCCGAGUAGCUCGACCCAUGAACAGGUCUAAUGGUAACCUCUUUAGCCCAAAACAUGUUGAUAAACAGUCUGUUACUUUGAGAAGUAUUGCCAUUGCUAUUCGAAGUUUAAGACAAGGAUUUGGGUGGUUGGUGGGAAAUGGUAAAAGUGUGGAUAUUCAUAAGGAUAAUUAGGGGUUUGAAGGCCUUAAUGGGGAUGCUUUUACAUGCAGCAGGGAGCAAGUUAGCGAGAAGAAAGUUCAUGAACUAUGGAUGCCGGACAGUAAACGUUGGGACAAGAAUAGGGUGAAUGAUAUUUAUGGAGAAACUUUGGGGGACCAAAUCUACAAUAUCCUCAUUUUUCCUUAUUGUCCGAAAGAUGUGCUGGUUUGGUUUCAUAGUCAUCAUGGCACAUAUACAACUAAAGCUGUGUACUCCUGGCUCAUUUUUAAAAAGAUAGGCAUGGGACCUUACCGUUUAUUCUGGAAAAUGAUUUGAAAGCUCAAAAUCAUUCCAAAGAUUCGUAUUUUUGCUUGGAGAGUGGGUCAUGAAAUUUUGCCUACAAAUUCAAAAAUUGCGACCAUUCAACCUUCAUUGAAUCCAGCUUGCUAGUGUUGUGGGGCUGAUAAAGAAACACUCAUUCAUGCUUUAAAGGACUACCCAACUGCGAGGGAGACACUGAAAUGUAGAGGUCUUGACGAAAAAUUGAUCAGUAGUGUUUUUGAUUGAUGCAUCGACUGGUUGGAGAUGGCUUUGAGAAUCCUUGAUAAAAAAGCUAUGGAAAACUUCAUCGCCCUCAUUUGGAUCAUGGAAUAAAAGAAAUAACUUUACAUUUUGUGGUAAAGAAGAGGAUGCAAGUACUAUAUGGAAUAUAGCUUUGACGUUAAGCAACGAUUUCUGGAUCCAUAACUUAAACAAAAAACCGAUGAUCCAUUGUCAACCUACUGGUCAUAAAUGGAUAAAACUGCAGCGAGGGAUGGUAAAAAUAAAUGUAGAUGCUGUCAUUGAAGAGGGGAAAAUGGGGUUGGGUGUGAUUAUCAGGGAUGAAGAUGGGUUUUUUUUUAGGGUAUGGCUGCGUUAAAGAUUUGACGUUUAACAGUGACUAGGCAGAAAUGAUGGCUAUUAAGGAAGGAGUCAGCCUGGCAAAAAGCUUGAAUUUGAAAAGGUGAUAAUGCUCUAGAAUAACGUAUUUUUAUGUAUUAAUCAUGUGUUUAUUCUAGGCUUGAACCUACUAAUUUGAGCUAUUUAUGUCUUUUUAUCGAUUAGGGACUGAUUUGGAGACAAAAGCAAAAUUAAGGAACAAAAGUGCAAAUUUGGGAACACAAUGGGCUGAUAUGCGACACAGGAAAAAGAUUGUGCCACAAGUGCGAGCAUGGAAGACACAAGGACCAAAAAUGCAAAAAGAAGAAAUUUUAAUUUAUAAGACUCCAUUUUAUUUAGAAUAGGAUAAUUAAUAUUAAGAUAAUUAUUAGAAUUAUUUAAUUUUAGGAUUUGAUUCUAAUUAUAUUUAUUUAUCUUUAAUUAAAUGUAUUUAUCUUUUUAGAAUUUAAGUUAAAUUAGACUAUCUCCCUAGCAUUAUAAAUAGGGGGUGAAGUGACUCUAUUUGGGGUUUAUCUUUUUCUGUAAACACUCUCCUCCUGAAAGUCUAGGCUUUUGUUUCUUCAUAUUUUCUUUCAAUAAAAUUCCCUUUUCCCUUUUUAUAUUUAUUUUCUUUUCCACAAUUAUCAUGAGCCACUAAAACCUAUCUAGCCGAAAGUUGUCAAUAUUCCCCAAAAAGGGUUCUUGAGGCCUAGAAUCUGUACUUAGCCUUCUCGCCAAGUAUUCAUCGUUUCUCCGUACUAUGGGCUGACGCUUCUGUCCAUGGCCCUUAAGAAGUAAGCUUUUCAGCAUAUGCAAAUGCGGCCACUUUGUAUGUUUUGGAAGGAUUGCACAGUCGGUUCGUUAACUUACUGUGUUAGAGGUUGGCGAGACAAAGAGACAAAAUGGCAUGGGAUUCGCCAUUGAAAAGCGUUGAUCUAGCAUAGAUUGCUGGCUAGAGUCAGGUUCCCUAAUGUAACAGCCCGAUUUUGGGCCUAGUCGAAACAGUGGUUUCGGGACCACUAUUCCGAGGCCAGAGAAAAUUAUUUUAGUAUUAUUUUAUGUGUUAUAAUAUGAUUUUAUAAGUGCAUGUUAAUUUUGGUAUAUUAAUUUUAGCGAUUUCUAGACCAAUUCCGAACUCGUUGAGUUGAGUCCGAGUUCACUUAUGGAUGCGAAUGUUCGAACUCGUUGAGUUAAGUCUGAGUUCGUGAGAUGUAACUAGGCAUCCGAGCUCGUUGAGUUGAGUCCGAGUUCACUUAUGGAUGCGAACGCCCGAGCUCGUUGAGUUGAGUCCGAGUUCACUUAUGGGCGGGUUACAUGGUAGCUUGGCUACAUAUGUGGCAUUUAUGUGCAAACUUUCCAUGUAUCCGAAUUAUAUUUCGAUGUGUUCAACGGGUAAAAUUCUACUCAAAUGGAGGAAUACUCGAGAUGAAAGGGACGUAUUGGUAAAUGUUGUGAAAUGGAUACUUUGAACAGGUAUAUACUUAACCCUCGGGUUGAAAACUCGACAUAACAACAAUAUGGUAAGAUGAUAAAUGAAAAUGUGAUAUGAAUGUCUCGGUGAUGAUUAUACAAACGAUGUUGUAUUAAUGUUGUAAACAUUGAUAAAACAAGUUAAUGAGUUGCUUAUUGUUUUCAUAUGAACUUACUAAGCGAAAGCUUACCCCCUUCUUUUUUUUUUAAAUCUAAAUGUAACACCCCUCGCCCGUAUCCGAUGCCGGGACGGGGUUUGAGGUGCUACCUGACUUUUACUAACACUUCCAUAUUAAAUAGGGCCAUAAAAUCUCAAAUAAUUAAAAACUUUUAUUUUCACAUACAAUCUGUCCCAUAUACGGGCUUACGAGGCCCAAAACAUAUAUCCGGAGUGGUUCGGGACCCAACUGAGAACUCAUGAAAAACUUAGAAAAUCUCUUGCAUCAAGGCUUCAUACGCCCGUGUGGGUACAGAGCACACGCCCGUGUGCGAGGGACACGCCCGUGUCCCAAACUCGUGUACAAAAACCUGGACAAAUACAAGGCUAUUUUCCAAGACAUUUUGUCACACUCACAAUAGAUAUACGCAUACUUAUACAAUAACAUACAACAUGGCAAAAUUAGGUACUUAAACAUUCCUAACAUGUCAUGAUUAUGGCAAUUUCACAUGCAAUAGAUAUCAUAGAUUUUACUCACAUCUUUACCACAUUCAUACUAUAAUCAUUAUAAACUCAUCACAUAAUACCAUAGCACAUGCAUGCAUAAUUAAAAUAGAUUUACAACCCCAUAAUCAAAAUAGGCCAACACAUAUGGUUAAAGCCAUAUCACAUACUCUAAUAUUUACAACAUAUUCUCAAGUUCACAACAAGCUGUCUUUCUGAGCAACGGUCACUAAAUUAUUUAUAUCUGGAGCUACGAAACUCAAAAUUAAGUUCCACUAAUUUUACCUGAAUCUAGACUCAUUUAUAUUUCUUUCAUAAAAUUUCCAGAAUUUUUGACUUAGCCAAUUAGUACAGUUUAUUCCUCAAGUUUGCUCCUGAUUCACUGUCUGACAGUUUCAACCCUUUUGCACUAAAGUUCAAUUAUCUCAUAGUACAGGAUUCGAAUAAUGUUUUAAUAUAUUUCUCAUGAAACUAGACUCAUAUUUCUACUUACUAAUUUUGUUCUAGAAUUUUUCGUCAAGCCAUUUAGUACAUUUUAUUAGUUAAAGUUUCCCCUGUUUCAGGGUAUGACUACUCUGACCCCUGUGCACUACGAAUCGAAUUUCUCCAUGUACAGAAUUCCAAUGACCAUGUCGUUUGUUUCCCUUAAAAAUAGACUCAAUAAGGAAUGUAUACAGGUAAGGUAUGACUAUUAAUAAUUUUUUUACAAUUUACGUUGAAUUUAUAAAAUCAGAACAGGGGAUCUCAAAUUCAUUCAGACCCUAUUUCACAAGAAUUUAAAUAUCACACAAUAUAGAAUUCUUUUUCUUCCUCUAUUUCUUUCAUGUGAAAAUAGACUCAUUAAGCUUUAAUCCCAUAUUUUAUUCUACCUCUAACUCAUUUCCCACUAUUUUUAGUGUAUUUUCAAAGUUACACUACUGCAGUAACUCAAAUCUGUCAAGGCUAAGUUACUCAUUCAUGGUCAUUGUUCAUAAUAUUAAUACAACACCAUUUUAUCCAUCAUGGUAAGAACACAUAUUAUGCAUCAUAGAUCAUCACAUAUCAAGGCAUUCUCAUAGGAUUAGUAUACAUACUUGCACAACUCGUAACAUAACUCGAGUGCAUACUCACCAAUGACUUACCUCAUUGGGACCAUCAUCAACUCUUUCCUUGGAUUGCCCGUUGAACACUUGGAAUACUAAUUGGAUACUCGGAAAAGCCUUUGCACAUAAGUGCCUCAAUUGUAGCUAAAACUACCUCAUAUCUCAUGACAUUUCAAUGCUCACUCUCAUGCUAGUCAUCUAGACUCAUAAUUCCUAGUGACAUGUCACUCGUAUCCUAUUCUAUUCCUAAGGUUCAAACGGGAUUUUUCAUCGUCUAUUAAGGCUUUGUCUUAUCAUAUUUCUAUUAAUCACAUACACAUUAAUAUCUGUACAAUUCAUGUAAUGAUAACAUUUAAAUACAUGUAUAGCAUGGUAUUGUUUACAUACGAACUUACCUUGAUACCACAAAGGUGAAAAGGACAUACUCGUCCAUAAAUCGAUUUCUUUCCGUUCUAGGUCCAAGUCUCAAUUUUCAUCAUUUAUAACAUCACAUUUAGCCUACCAAUCAGUCACAAUAUUCAUAUGGGUCUAAAAAUCAUAUUUUUACAAAUUUUCAUUUUGACCCCUAAACUUUUGCAUAUUUGCACUUUUGCCCCAAUGCUCGUAAAUUAAUUUUUAUCACAUUUCUUUACUCCUUGAGUCUAGAUGAACCAUUUUCAUAGCUAUAGCAACUCAUAAUUUCAACUAUUUUACACAUUUACAACUCAUUUUACAACUUAGCAAUUCAGACCCUUUUAAAGUAUUUUCAUGCAAUUUCUUUCACAAAAGUUGUUUAUUAGACAACUAGGACUCAUAAUCUUCCAUAAAAACACAGCAAACAACACAUUUACUCUCAUGGUAAAACCCUAGACUCUUCAUCAUUUUGCGAAAUAAUCCCCUCUUAUGAAAGCUUAUGCUUUAAGGGUUCCAAAAAUACAAAAAUCAUCAAGCAAAGACAUUAAAAUCACUUACAAGCAAGGGAAAUAUGUUGCUGAAAUUUUCCAGCUUCAAAACCCUUUCUUUGCUGCAUAUUUCGGUGAAGGGGAAGAGAAAAAUGAUAGCUUUUUCUUCUUCUUUUUUUUAUUUGUUAAUAAUAAAACUAUUUUGUCUAAUUUUGACUUUUCAACUAUUUUAUCUCCCAUGGCCGGCCAUCACACUUUCAAUGGCCUAACUUCACUUUAAAGACCCCCAAUUUAAGAUACAAGGCAAUUUAACACCUUUAGGUAUUAAAACACAACUUUUACUUUUUACGCGAUUUAGUCCUUUUUCGAAAUUGGACUAGAAAUCGCUAAAAUUAAUAUACCAAAAUUAACAUGCACUUAUAAAAUCAUAUUAUAACACAUAAAAUAAUACUAAAAUAAUUUUCUCUGGCCUCGAAAUAGUGGUCCCGAAAUCACUGUUCCGACUAGGCCCAAAAUCGGGCUGUUACAUUUCUUCCCCCCUUUAGGGAUUUUCGUCCCCGAAAAUCUUACCAGAAAAAGUUGUUCUCUACUUUCACGAGUCACUUUUAUCUUUUUCUCACAACUUACAAAACAACUCCGCACAAGCUCAUACUCAAGAUUUCCCUUAGCUUUUUCAUAGUUGAGGUAUAAACCUUGGAGCUCAAUUUGAAACACUGGAGACUGACAUUCUUGGAACUAUAAACUCAGAAACAUACAACUCAGUCACAUCUGUUGAAUAAUAUAUCUGUACAUACUAAAAUAAUCAUGCAGACUUCCAUCAUCAAUCUUUCACAAUUCAACUUGCAUCUCUCUUUUUUCCUGGAAAUGAGAGACAUCCCGAUACGAAAUUCAUAACAGUCCUUUCUCAUUUUCUUCCCACUGUCAUCACUGACAAUAAUAAUCUCGAAUACAUUUGAUAUUCGGCUUUACCCUAUAGAAAAUUUGACAUCCUUUGAACGAAUAGACAAGAUACUGCUGUGAACUCUGUACUCAAUUCUCUGUAUACCCAGAGUUUCUCAGUACUGAAAUCUUACUCUAAAUUAAUAGUAAUAGAAACCAGAAAUCAAAUCCUCCCUGCAAUUCCAAAUUAAAAGUCGAAUCAUGCUGUACUUGUUUAAUUUACCACUUAUAGCCACAUUUCUAUACUCUGAUCAUCAACUGUUUAGAAACUUUACUAACAUGAAUCAAAUGAUUCCAACUUCAUAGAUGUGGUCUUUUUAUUAAUCAGGAUAACUAUACUUAUAACAUCUCUCGAACAAGAGAAAUCCAACUAAUAUGUUUCCAUAACAUACUUUCAAGAAUAAAACCCCAUCAUUUCUGACUGUACGACUACUUACCAAAGAACACGUAACUGUGUUCUCGAACCAGAGAAUAAACUUAAAUGCACAUAACUCAGAUUUACUUUUGCAGAAUAACCAUUCUUUACCCCAGGAAUUUUAAAGAAAUCUCGACACUGAAAUCCCCACACUUCUAUGGUCGAGCCAGAAGCUUAAUCAUAACAAAUUCUAAUAUGGCAAGUCAAAGAUUACUCGUAAAGAUAAGCCAAGCUUGAUAAUUCUCGAAACAAGAACGAGAGAAAAGCCAAUAUAAGAAAUUCCAAGAUAUAAAGACUCUACCAGAAAUCCGAGAAUAUAAUCCAGAAGAAAAUAAUAAAUAUGAUCCGGAAAAUCCCUCAGAGAAAACCAGAAGGAAACUACUGUCUAUACGCUCUAGAAUUUCUCGUAACAGAGAUAAUAUAAUUCUCCAAUAUGUAUAAACCAUAAUCAAUAGAACAUCAGAAUAAUCUCAUAUAGAUUUUUACUAUCAACUUCAUUCCAGUAUAUCAGAAUAGAAAUCUGAAGAGAUGGGGAAAUGUCGAUCAUAACUAACUGGACUAAUAGAACUUUUCAUCUAAUAUCACAGUCACUAGCAUCCUCAUACGGUAGAAUUUCCAUUCGAAAGGGAUAACCAUACGUAUUCCCCAGAAUAGAGGAAAACAUAGAAUACUCAGAAGAGAAAGGUAGCCAUCACUUUAUUUAAUUGAAUCCGUCAUAUUCAGACAUCUGUGCAAGUCUGACAUUAUUCCUCUAACUAAUUCUGUCUUCGCUAAUCUCAUACUAUUCCAUUAUUGUACUCUUCACUUUCACUUUUGCAAGCUUAUGCAACAUAUCUCUCGAAAAUCUCAUCGUAUAACUCUAUUCUGGUAAGGGGGCGAAGAUUGUAAAGCCUCUAAACUUUUGACUCUCAAGCAAAUACAUAUUCAACAACAACAUAGCAUUACACACAUCGAUUCAAACAUUUCAAAUUUCCAACUUGUUAUGAACACAUUUUCACAUAUCUUAGUAAUACAUGCAACUUUAUUUCGUGCAAAUAUUAGCUAAACAUAAGUGAAUUUAUCAUAACUCAAACUUUCAUUUAUUUUUCUCAAAUUACCCUUAAUGUUUUAUCAAAUUCCCAUAUUUAGUCUUAAUCACUUGCCAAUAUUUAUCAAAUUGGAGAACGUCUUAUGGUUUUGAGUACAUUGCUUACUUGAUGCCAUAGUUCAACUAUGGUCUUGUACUAGCUCUCAUCCAUCUGUGUCGAUGCCGUGUCCCAGACAGGUCUUACACUGACACAUGUAACCGUGCUGACGCAUGUCCCAGACAUGUCUUACACUAGCACAUCUCGUAGCCGACACAUGUCCCGGACAUGUCUGACAUUGGCUAACAUCUCGAGGCCGAUGCAUGUCCCAGACAUGUCUUACACUGGCUCUCAUACUGUGGCUGAUGCAUGUCCCAGACAUGUCUUACACUAGCCCUCGUCUCAAUGCCGAUGCCAUGUCCCAUACAUGGUCUUACACUGGCACACAAAUCUCUUGUAUUGCCACGGUCCAACCAUGGUCUUUUCCGUCAAUUCAUUAGUGAACGAUCGUACUCAUUCCCUGCAUUCCACCCAAUUUGAUCUUUCAUUACAACUUUCAUGCUAUUAUGACAUUUAUGAUUCUGUAACUGAGAUUAUAAAGCAUAACAUUACUGCAUCUUGACUUCAUCAAUCUAGACAUAAAUGUCAACCUCAUGUAUAUAUUGAUUAUUAAUCAUGCAAUAAAAGCAUUCAUACAUACAUUCUGUCAUUUCAAGCAAAUUUCUUUCUUUUCCUAAACACUUGGCCAAAUCAAGUUGGACAUUUAACAUCGUAUGAAUACUAACAUGCAUAAAAGCGUUUUUUCACAACUUAACUGUGUUUUACUCCACUAUUUCACAUUCUUUAACUCAAGAGUAUCACAUAGUGAAUACUAGUUCAUAUGAAAAUCAUUAAUGUCUUUUCAUACCUUUCCCAUUUUCAGCAUGUCACAAGCAUGAUUCAAUAAUCUCAACUUUACUCUUAUCUUUAUCAAGAUUUGCUCGGUUCGAAUUCAUUCCUGUCUUAAACAACAGUUUUGUUAGGGCCGAGAGAUAUCACACUAUCACGAGUAAUACUAUGGCAUGUAUAGCUAGACUCUCUUACGCUAGGUUAGUCUGAGAACCGACUAAACCAUGCUCUGAUACCACUAAAUGUAACACCCCUCGCCCGCAUCCGACGCCGAGACAGGGUUCGAGGUGCUACUUGACUUUUACUAACACUUCCAUACUAAAUAGGGCCAUGAAAUCUCAAAUAAUUAAAAACUUUUAUUUUCAUAUACAAUCUGUCCCAUAUACGGGCUUACGAGGCCCAAAACAUACGUCCGGAGUGGUUUGGGACCCAACCGAGAACUCAUGAAAAACUUAGAAAAUCUCUUGCAUCAAGGCUUCAUACGCCCGUGUGGGUAUAGAGCACACGCCCGUGUGGGUAUAGAGCACACGCCCGUGUGCUAGGGACACGCCCGUGUCCCAAACCCGUGUACAAAAACCUAGACAAAUACAAGGCUAUUUUCCAAGCCAUUUUGUCACACUCACAAUAGAUACACACAUACUUAUACAACAACAUACAACAUGGCAAAAUUAGGUACUUAAACAUUCCUAACAUGUCAUGAUUAUGGCAAUUUCACAUGCAAUAGAUAUAAUAGAUUUUACUCACAUCUUUACCAUAUUCAUACUAUAAUCAUUAUAAACUCAUCACAUAAUACCAUAUCACAUGCAUGCAUAAUUAAAAUAGAUUUACAACCCCAUAAUCAAAAUAGGCCAACACAUAUGGUUAAAGCCAUAUCACAUACUCUAAUAUUUACAACAUAUUCUCAAGUUUACUACAAGCUAUCUUUUUGAGCAACGGUCACUAAAUUAUUUAUAUAUAGAGUUAAGAAACUCCAAAUUAAGUUCCGUUAAUUUUACCUGAAACUAGACUCAUUUAUCUUUCUUUCAUAAAAUUUCCAGAAUUUUUGACUCAGCCAAUUAGUACAGUUUAUUCCUCAAGUUUGCUCCUGAUUCACUGUCUGACAGUUUCAACCCUUCUACACUAAAGUUCAAUUAUCUCAUAGUACAGGAUUCGAAUAAUGUUCUCGUCUAUUUCUCUUGAAACUAGACUCAUAUUUCUACUUACUAGUUUUUUUAUAGAAUUUUUUGUGAAGCCAUUUAGUACAUUUUAUUAGUUAAAGUUUCCCCUGUUUCAGGGUAUGACUACUCUGACCCCUGUGCACUACGAAUCGAAUUUCUCCAUGUACAGAAUUCUAAUGACCAUGCUGUUUGUUUCCCUUAAAAAUAGACUCAAUAAGGAAUGUAUACAGGUAAGGUAUGACUAUUAAUAAUUUUUUUACAAUUUAUGGUGAAUUUAUAAAAUCAGAACAGGGGAUCUCAAAUUCAUUCAGACCCUAUUUCACAAGAAUUUAAAUAUCACACAAUAUAGAAUUCUUUUUCUUCCUCUAUUUCUUUCAUGUGAAAAUAGACUCAUUAAGCUUUAAUCCCAUAUUUUAUUCUGCCUCUAACUCAUUUUCCACUAUUUUUAGUGUAUUUUCAAAGUUACACUACUGCAGUAACUCAAAUCUGUCAAGGCUAAGUUACUCAUUCAUGGUCAUUGUUCAUAAUAUUAAUACAACACCAUUUUAUCCAUCAUGGUAAGAACACAUAUUAUGCAUCAUAGAUCAUCACAUAUCAAGGCAUUCUCAUAGGAUUAGUAUACAUACUUGCACAACUCGUAACAUAACUCGAGUGCAUACUCACCAAUGACUUACCUCAUUGGGACCAUCAUCAACUCUUUCCUUGGAUUGCCCGUUGAACACUUGGAAUACUAAUUGGAUACUCGGAAAAGCCUUUGCACAUAAGUGCCUCAAUUGUAGCUAAAACUACCUCAUAUCUCAUGACAUUUCAAUGCUCACUCUCAUGCUAGUCAUCUAGACUCAUAAUUCCUAGUGACAUGUCACUCGUAUCCUAUUCUAUUCCUAAGGUUCAAACGGGAUUUUUCAUCGUCUAUUAAGGCUUUGUCUUAUCAUAUUUCUAUUAAUCACAUACACAUUAAUAUCUGUACAAUUCAUGUAAUGAUAACAUUUAAAUACAUGUAUAGCAUGGUAUUGUUUACAUACGAACUUACCUUGAUACCACAAAGGUGAAAAGGACAUACUCGUCCAUAAAUCGAUUUCUUUCCGUUCUAGGUCCAAGUCUCAAUUUUCAUCAUCUAUAACAUCACAUUUAGCCUACCAAUCAGUCACAAUAUUCAUAUGGGUCUAAAAAUCAUAUUUUUACAAAUUUUCAUUUUGACCCCUAAACUUUUGCAUAUUUGCACUUUUGCCCCAAUGCUCGUAAAUUAAUUUUUAUCACAUUUCUUUACUCCUUGAGUCUAGAUGAACCAUUUUCAUAGCUAUAGCAACUCAUAAUUUCAACUAUUUUACACAUUUACAACUCAUUUUACAACUUAGCAAUUUAGCCCUUUUAAAGGUAUUUUCAUGCAAUUUCUUUCACAAAAGUUGUUUAUUAGACAACUAGGACUCAUAAUCUUCCAUAAAAACACAGCAAACAACAUAUUUACUCUCAUGGUAAAACCCUAAACUCUUCAUCAUUUUGCAAAAUAAUCCCCUCUUAUGAAAGCUUAUGCUUUAAGGGUUCCAAAAAUACAAAAAUCAUCAAGCAAAGACAUUAAAAUCACUUACAAGCAAGGGAAAUAUGUUGCUGAAAUUUUCCAGCUUCAAAACCCUUUCUUUGCUGCAUAUUUCGGUGAAGGGGAAGAGAAAAAUGAUAGCUUUUUCUUCUUCUUUUUU
rnacentral:lncRNA from 1 species